AGUAGGGUGCAAGCGUUAAUCGGAAUUACUGGGCGUAAAGCGUGCGCAGGCGGUUUUGUAAGACAGGCGUGAAAUCCCCGGGCCCAACCUGGGAAUUGCGCUUGUGACUGCAAAGCUGGAGUGCGGCAGAGGGGGAUGGAAUUCCGCGUGUAGCAGUGAAAUGCGUAGAUAUGCGGAGGAACACCGAUGGCGAAGGCAAUCCCCUGGGCCUGCACUGACGCUCAUGCACGAAAGCGUGGGGAGCAAACAGGAUUAGAUACCCUGGUAGUCCACGCCCUAAACGAUGUCAACUGGUUGUUGGGUCUCUUCUGACUCAGUAACGAAGCUAACGCGUGAAGUUGACCGCCUGGGGAGUACGGCCGCAAGGUUG
rnacentral:rRNA from 1 species